UACAGAGGUCCCAAGCGUUGUUCGGAUUCACUGGGCGUAAAGGGUGCGUAGGUGGUUGGGUAAGUCUAAUGUGAAAUCUCCGAGCUUAACUCGGAAACUGCAUCGGAUACUAUCCAGCUAGAGGGUUGGAGGGGGGACUGGAAUACUUGGUGUAGCAGUGAAAUGCGUAGAUAUCAAGUGGAACACCAGUGGCGAAGGCGAGUCCCUGGACAACUCCUGACACUGAGGCACGAAAGCUAGGGGAGCAAACGGG
rnacentral:rRNA from 1 species